ensembl:lncRNA novel transcript
GUGACUUUCCUGUCUCUGAUGUUCCGGGUCAGCUCCAGCACUGGAGAAGGCUGCGAGGGAGACAGGGGAGGAGAGGGUCCUUCAAGGACAGAGGAAGGAUCAGAAUCUCAAUCUGCAGCAAACACCUCUCUCCAUUCCCUGACUUGUGGUCAUUGGGCCCUGCCUGGUCCAAGCAGCCAGGCAGUGCUCAAGACAGCAGCACGGAGCAGCAGAUCCCUGGGUUGGCAAUAGGAGCCUUGAAGAGUGGCCGCAGGGAUCCAGGGAUGGAGAGGCCUCCCAGGCAUGGGUGCACCGCCCUGCAGAGGCCCUAAGGAUGUGUACUCAGUGGAAGCUGGAGUCAGGACCAGAUCUGAUGCUGAAAGUACCUGUGAGCCAAAUAGCUCGGAAUGACUAAGGGGUGAGGGAGAUGCUCUCUCUUGAAGAGCCACUGCUUCUGCAUUCAACAAAGGUGAAAAGGAACCCUUUUGGGAACUGUCACUCAGAAAAGUCAGAACUCCUAUCCAGGACUUGAGUGCAGGAGAAGGGGAGCCCCAUGGACUUCUUUGUGUCACCCGCGGCAUAAACGGCUUAAUGUGGAUGUACUUUAAGGAAAGGGAGGAAAACCAAACAACUUAGAAAAUCAACCAUCCCCCCUCCCUGCCAAGCCUUGGUUCUCGACGGUGUCUGUGCACAUCAAGAUUGCAGCGAUGUGCGGGGGCCUCGGGCACGCAGUGUUGCAGUAUUUUCUGAAAGGCUUUGCUCGCUCUCUUCAGUACUUUUCCUCUUCUCACAGCCUGGAGCCUGCAGAGAAAUAGCCCUGGUUCCCCCUAGUGGCAGAAGCUCAUAGCGCCGACCUGGGACACUUCCCACGAUCGUGGUAAUUAGCCAGUAGUUUAGUUACAACCACACUCUCAUUAACUAACAGCGGGAGAAGAGACUGUCCCUGUUUCCUUGGAGACCUAGCAGCGCGUGCUUCUAUUGCAUUGACUGUUCCUGUAAGCUCAAAAGCCCCCAGGUUGUUAUCGCAUAGUGUUUACUGCAUUGGAUGGAGACCAAGACCUGGUAACACUGUGUUCCCCGCCGGUGCUUCUCAAAGUGUGGUCCUUGACCUAUGCAUCAGCAUCACCUGGGAGCUGGAUAGAAAUGCAAAUUCUCAGGCCUCUUACGCCUACUGAGUCCAUAACUCGGGGGUUCAGAGCCCAGGAAUCUGCAUUUUGACAAGUUCUCCAGCUGAUUCUGAUCCACAAUGAAGAAUGAGGACUGACCUAGACAAAGCAUGCCCUGGUAUUUUGUUCCUAUUAAUAACCAGAAACAGCUGGGCACAGUGGCUCACACCUGUUAUCCCAGCACUUUGGGAGGCCGAGGCAGGCAGAUCACCUGAGGUCAAGAGUUUGAGACCAGCCUGACCAACAUGGAGAAACCCCAUCUCUACUAAAAAUA